AGAAUCAGCUUAAAAGGAGACUUCACACAAUGAGUGUUGCUUCUGCAACAUGCUUUCUUUUUCCUCUUGCCAUGUGGGACACAAUAUUAGGUUCAGCUUCUGAUAGUAUUGUUAAGUUUCAGUUUCCAAGCUGGGCAUACUUGAGUACAAUCUUCUUUGGAAUUAUUUUCAUAUUCUAUGCCGAUAACAUUGCUGAAGAAAGGCUGCAUCUUGUUUU